CCUAGAAGCCAUUCUGGAACCCUCUGGAUGAGCGCUCAAGGAGAGAAACGUGGUAUAUUUGGGGGAAAUGAAGGCAAGUGGGAUAUUGAAAAGCUGUGGUGAACUGACAACUCACUGGAUGAACACACAACUAGAAACUUUAGGAAUCACAGAAAACAAUUCUAUUCCACAUAUUAAGCAAUCAUGUUUAAGUUAGAGAAACAAAUCAGUUGUCUCCAGAAAGAAGAACAGAGUUCAUUCAGAGAAAGAAUUCACAUAGUUAAGAAGCAGAAAAUACAUGGAUUAUUGUGAUGAAAGCAAGUGUCCAACUAAGCAACGAGAGAAAAAUAAGGAUAAUUCAAAAUUUGAGGGAGGAACCUUGUGGGAGGUGAUUAGAUCAUGGGGGCGGGUCCUCCAUGCUGUUCUUGUGACAGUGGGUGAGUUCUCAUGAGAUCUGAUGGCUUUAUAAGGGUCUUUCACCCUUCACUCUGUACUUCUCGCUCCUGCCGUCCUGUGAAAACGUGCCUUCCAUCAUAAUUGCAUGGUUCCUGAGGCCUCCGCAACCAUGCAGAACUGUGAGUGAAUUAACCUCUUUUCUUUAUCAAUUACCCAGUCUCAGGUAUUUCUUCAUAGUAGCAUGAUAACGGACUAAUACAGAUGACAACUGACAUUUUAGACAUGGGGGCCCACUGAACAAACUUGAAGCCAGUCUGUUUGAGAAGGGAAAUAAAUAACUAAAAUAGUAUAGUAAAGGUAGAAAUGGAAGUAAGGCCGAGACACUUGAAAUGAAGAGUAUGACUUGAGAUCUACAUGAUCUAUUAAAAACUAAAUAAAUAAAGAGAACAAAGCCAGAGUCACUGUGAUUUUUUUUUCUGAGAGUGAGAAGUAAUGGAAAUAAUGGUAGAAAUAAGGAAGAAGAAAGAAUAUAUUUAGGAUGCCCAAUGGCACUGCUCUUAAGUGAGAUGAAUUAGUUGAGAACCGUCUGUGGAAAGCAGAUGGGAUAUAGGUUUAGAUUUUGAGGCCACCACUGUUUUGACAACAUAAAGAUGAAAAGUAAUUAAUAAUAAGAAGAAAAAAAUGAAAAUGGACAUAAUAAACUUCAGGAACAUGAAGAGAAAAUGAGUAUUUUAGAAAAAAUAAUGGGCAUCUAGAGUAGGAACUAGUCAUCAUAUGAAUUUCUCUAGGACAGAGGAAUGAUUCAAGUACGAUUAAUCCCAAAUCUAACAUCUAUUAGCACAAAAAGCACAAAUACGUUGAGCAAGGCACUUUUCCUACCUGAAUUCCAGAUUCCCUACCUAUAAUAUGAAUCUUUAAUAAAAUGCCUACUUAUGAACAUUAAAUUUGCUAAAGUAGUGCCUGGCUUACAGUAAGUGGACAACACAUACUAGCUUGUGGGGUGGUGGUAGUAGUAGUAGUCAUCACCGUCAUAUGCCAUUAUGAAUAUAAUAAACACCAAGCAGAUCUCAUAAGACUA
rnacentral:lncRNA from 1 species